rnacentral:ncRNA from 1 species
CGUGUGGCUUAUAGUUAAAAUCGUCGAUAGCGACACAAUCUGACGAAUAGGU